rnacentral:rRNA from 1 species
GAUGAACGCUGGCGGCGUGCCUAAUACAUGCAAGUCGAGCGAAUGACGAGGAGCUUGCUCCUCUGAUUUAGCGGCGGACGGGUGAGUAACACGUGGGUAACCUGCCUGUAAGACGGGGAUAACUCCGGGAAACCGGAGCUAAUACCGGAUGAUAACGAGAAGCGCCUGCUUCUUUUUUGAAAGUCGGUUUCGGCUGACGCUUACAGAUGGGCCCGCGGCGCAUUAGCUAGUUGGUGAGGUAACGGCUCACCAAGGCGACGAUGCGUAGCCGACCUGAGAGGGUGAUCGGCCACACUGGGACUGAGACACGGCCCAGACUCCUACGGGAGGCAGCAGUAGGGAAUCUUCGGCAAUGGACGAAAGUCUGACCGAGCAACGCCGCGUGAGCGAUGAAGGCCUUCGGGUCGUAAAGCUCUGUUGUCAGAGAAGAACAAGUACCGGAGUAACUGCCGGUACCUUGACGGUACCUGACCAGAAAGCCACGGCUAACUACGUGCCAGCAGCCGCCGUAACAC